UCCUGUCCCGCUGCUGCCGGCCGCGGGCGGGGCAGGUUUCGGUUGACCGCGGCGGCUCUCCGCCGAUCCCCUCACCGCUCGGCGCCGCGCCGGUGGCGGCGGUGGCUGCCGGGCCGGGGCGGGCCUGACCGGUGGUCGGCGGAGGGCUCGGAUCCGGUGGAAGUAACUGGCCACAGCGUGCUGCGGGGCAAGCGAGGUGCUCGAGCAAGGAAAGCUACGGCAGAUAUUAGCCUCACAGAGGUUUGGUUUGACCUUACCUGUUGCCUCAGUAAGGAAUCCAGUAAGAAGAUUAUAUACCGCAGUUCAAGGAUCUGUGUCUUGGAUAAAGCAAUGAUCAUUAGCAUUCUGUGAGAAGAACGCUGUUCUCCAGGGAGGACACGCCGCCAACAUGAGGUGUAUCUACACCAUGUCUGUGUUGUGUACAAACAUAUGAAGAUCUGGGUGUUGGCAACCACAGGAAGCAGCUGUGUGUAUGAAGAAGUCUAUAUGUCAGUAAUUUAUUGCGUUGCUUUUUAGUACAUUCUCAGAGGUGGUGAUACAAUUUUGUAAGUAUACAUGUACCCUAGGAUUUGAAAACCUUCUAGAGAACAACUGAAGCUAAUGUGCAAAUGCAGCAGAGAAUUCAGAAGUGUCUGUCUGAAAUGUAGGUGUGUUUGUAGCAGCCCUAUUCAUAUAUUACAGUAGCACAUUGAUUUAAUAUCUUAUUUCAAGUCCACCUCGUGGAUGUCUGGGAAUGACAUAGGUUUUGCCAUCAAUAUGUUCAGGCUGAAAAGUUUCUUUUCUAUCUUCAUUUUUAUUCCCGAAUGUACACUUCUGACACUUGAUUUGUGAUAGCUGACACCUCAAAGCUGAUAUAUGGCUCAAGAAUUAAGCAGCACAGGGCCAGACUGAAUGAGCUAGCUAUAAUCUCUCAAACAUACAAUACUGUCUGACAUAAAAUGUGAAAAUCAUCAGCGUGUGUAUAGUGUCAUACAGAAAAAAGUACUAAAAUGAAGUGGAAAAUUACUUGAGUUUUGACUCAGAGGAAGUUAAGCUUUUAAACUACCUGGUAUGCAUUUUUCAAUGUAUUUUUAAUCUCUUUUCCUUUCUUUUCAAGGAUGUAGAAACCAGAAUUAUAUUUCUGUAUUUCAAAUCCAGUCCUGUGUCCCUAUUUCUGAGGGAAGGCAAGGCAAGGCACAAGGAAGGGAAGGGCACAAGGAGGACAGAGUCAAAGUCUUUCCCAGCAGGUUUCUGGAUUGUUCAGUACUGCACUAGGGGAAGUGGCAACUGAGCUACAAUGAUGGCCUUUGUUGCCUAUACUUGCUUUGAAAAUGACAAUUGAAAUGAAGGUAGAAUUUUCCAGGCUUUUGGGGGGAGGAAAACUGAAGUUGCUACACCCUGAGUUACUGUACCAAACAUAGGUCUGUUUAAAAUUAAUUUACUGUAAAUCAGUAGUCUACCUGAUGACAAGAAACAUGUUUUGUGUAUCUUAAAAAAUCCAGAAAGUGACUUUGAAGAUUUGGAAAAGUGUAAUGCCACUGUUAUGUAAGAGCAUAUAUAGAUGAUGGUUUUAACUGCUGUAAUAGUGGUCAAACUGGAAUUUGGAUGAGAAUGUGCUGCCUUCCUCCAGUAAAACAAAAGGUGGAACAGAGGUUCUAGGUAACAUGUGACUGAUGGCCACUAAAAAUAUACAAAGGAGUAUGAAGCUUAGAAGAAAAGACAUAUACCUGAUUUCAGGUACCAGUAUGUGAUCUGCUAAAUAUAUUUUGAGAGUAGCCACACUCACAGUUUGGAGAGUGAAAUCUUAGUGUAUGGGAAAUCCUAUUUCAACCUCCUUGAAUUAGGAAAUUUGUCAUAAUGUGUGAAAACAGUUCCCAGCCACUGAAAGGAUCUUUCAUGACAGAAAGUCAGAAAGCCUUUCAAAGAAGCCAAAUUUCAUAGAAUAAUAGAGUCAUAGAAUAGUUUAGGUUGGAAGAGACUUUUAGAGGUCAUCUAGUCCAACCCCCUGCAGUGACCAGGGACAUCUUCAACUAGACCAGGUUGCUCAGAACCCUGUCCAGCCUGACCAUGAAUGUUUCCAGGGAUGGAGCAUCUACCACUCCUCUGGGCAACCCGUUCUGGUGGUACACCACCCUCAUCAUAAAAAACUUCUGCAUUAUAUCUAGUCUAAAUCUACCCUCUUUUAGUUUAAAACCAUUACCCCUUGUUCUAUUGCAACAGGCCCUACUAAAAGGUUUAUCCCCAUCUUUCUUAUAAGGCUUCCUUUAAAUAUUGAAAGGCCUUAAUAAGGUCUCCUCAGAGCCUUCUCUUCUCCAGGCUGAACAAGCCCAACUCUCUUCACAGGAGAGGUGCUCCAGCCCUCAGAUCAUUUUUGUGGUCCUCCUCUGGACCUGAUCCAACAGUUCCAUGUCCUUGUGCUGAGGCCUCCAGAGCUGGAUGCAUCACUCCAGGUGGGGUCUCACCAGAGCAGAGUAGAGGGGCAGAAUCACCUCCCUCUACCUGCUGGCCAUGCUUCUUUUGAUGCAGCCCAGGAUACGGUUGGCCUUCUGGGCUGUGAGUGCACAUUGCUGGCUCUUGUCCAGCUUUUCAUCCGCUAGUACCCCCAAGUCGUUCUCUGUAGGGCUGCUCUCAAUCCCUUCAUCCCCCAGCCUGUAUUGAUACUGGGGGUUGCCCCAACCCAGGUACAGGACCUUGCACUUGGCCUUGUUGAACCUCAUGAAGUUCACAUGGGCCCACUUCUUGAGCUUGUCCAGGUCCCUCUGCAUGGCAUCCCACCCCUCAGGCUUGUCAGCUGCACCACUCAGCUUGGCGUCACCUGCAAACUUGCUGAGGGUGCACUCAAUCUUGCUGUCUAUGUCACUGAUGAAGAUAUUAAACAGUACUGGUCCCAGUACUGACCCCUGAGGGACACCACUUGUCACUGAUCUCCAUCUGGACAUUAACCCCACUUUUGGUAAUUAGCUGCCUCAUGGGUCAGUGGUCAGAGGAAAGACCAUAUGCCAUUAUUUCCCAAAACAGAUCAAUAAGCAAGUUUCAGCAGAAAGAGACGUAUAGUUACACUAAAUGGUUUAUUUAAUUUAAGAAUGUUUAAACAGGGAUCAAAACCAACCACAGUGUCAGGAAAAAGCUUGCUUCAGUUCAGCAGAACAGCUAUUUUCCGUCUUGACCUACCAAAGAGAAGCAGUACUGUUUGGCUCACCAGAGUCAGGAAACUGAGAUGUUUUAUGAUCCCGUUGGAAUGGUAUCUAUCUCACUGAAGCUAGCAGUGUGAGGAAUGCUGUUUUACAACCAUGUUUUAAAAGUAACACAAAUACUGCAGUAUUUUAUGAAAAGUUUGA